CCUACGGGAGGCAGCAGUGGGGAAUCUUGCGCAAUGGCCUAACGGCUGACGCAGCGACGCCGCGUGUAGGAUGAAGCUCUUCGGAGUGUAAACUACUGUUGCCCGGGACGAAUAGCUCGAUUAAUCGAGCCUGACGGUACCGGGUGAGGAAGCACCGGCUAACUCCGUGCCAGCAGCCGCGGUAAUACGGGGGGUGCGAGCGUUGUCCGGAAUCACUGGGCGUAAAGGGCGCGUAGGUGGUUUGAUAAGGGUGUGGUGAAAGCCCGGAGCUCAACUCCGGGUCUGCCGUGCCGACUGUCAAACUCGAGGACUGUAGAGGCAGACGGAAUUCCGGGUGUAGCGGUGGAAUGCGUAGAGAUCCGGAGGAAGACCGGUGGCGAAGGCGGUCUGCUGGGCAGUUUCUGACACUGAGGCGCGACAGCGUGGGGAGCAAACAGGAUUAGAUACCCUGGUAGUCCACGCCGUAAACGAUGGGUACUAGGUGCCUGGGGGAGCGACCCUCUGGGUGCCGGCGCUAACGCAGGAAGUACCCCGCCUGGGGAGUACGACCGCAAGGUUGAAACUCAAAGGAAUUGACGG
rnacentral:rRNA from 1 species